rnacentral:rRNA from 1 species
CCUACGGGUGGCUGCAGUGGGGAAUAUUGGACAAUGGGCGAAAGCCUGAUCCAGCCAUGCCGCGUGUGUGAAGAAGGCCUUCGGGUUGUAAAGCACUUUCAGUGGGGAAGAAAGCCUUGGGGCUAAUACCCUCGAGGAAGGACAUCACCCACAGAAGAAGCACCGGCUAACUCCGUGCCAGCAGCCGCGGUAAUACGGAGGGUGCGAGCGUUAAUCGGAAUUACUGGGCGUAAAGCGCGCGUAGGCGGUCUGAUAAGCCGGUUGUGAAAGCCCCGGGCUCAACCUGGGAACGGCAUCCGGAACUGUCAGGCUAGAGUGCAGGAGAGGACGGUAGAAUUCCCGGUGUAGCGGUGAAAUGCGUAGAGAUCGGGAGGAAUACCAGUGGCGAAGGCGGCCUUCUGGACUGACACUGACGCUGAGGUGCGAAAGCGUGGGUAGCAAACAGGAUUAGAUACCCGAGUAGUC